rnacentral:rRNA from 1 species
UCGCUAGUAAUCGCGGAUCAGCAUGCCGCGGUGAAUACGUUCCCGGGCCUUGUACACACCGCCCGUCACACCACGAGAGUUGGUAACACCCGAAGUCGGUGAGGUAACCUUUUGGAGCCAGCCGCCGAAGGUGGGACCAAUGAUUGGGGUGAAGUCGUAACAAGGUAGCCGUGUCGGAAGGUGCGGCUGGAUCACCUCCUU